rnacentral:rRNA from 1 species
UACGAAGGGGGCUAGCGUUGUUCGGAAUUACUGGGCGUAAAGCGCACGUAGGCGGAUCAUUUAGUCAGGGGUGAAAUCCCGGGGCUCAACCUCGGAACUGCCCUUGAUACUGAUGGUCUCGAGUCCGGAAGAGGUGAGUGGAAUUCCUAGUGUAGAGGUGAAAUUCGUAGAUAUUAGGAAGAACACCAGUGGCGAAGGCGGCUCACUGGUCCGGUACUGACGCUGAGGUGCGAAAGCGUGGGGAGCAAACAGG